rnacentral:tRNA from 1 species
GCCCGGGUAGCUCAAUCGGUAGAGCGUGUGGCUCUUAUCCACUACGGAUUGAAACCUCAAGGUCGCGAGUUCGAGCCUCGCCUCGGGCU